GAGGGUGUAGCUCAGUGGUAGAGUGCAUGCUUAGCAUGCAUGAGGUCCUGGAUUCAAUCCCCAGUACUUCCA
rnacentral:tRNA from 1 species